GUCCAACUAACCGAGCUUUAGCUAUGCCAGAUCGGUAACCGAGAUACCAUUGGACGAGAUACAAAAACAUGUACCUUACAGAGAUCCUUAAUUCCGAGAUACUAAUAUCGAACUAUGAAUAAACUGUACCUAGCAUCACCACGAUGAUAACAUGACUCCGGCGUUCGCACCUAGAUACCGAGAUGCAAAUACCGAGAUAUAACGCGGGACCUACUUAAUAGGGUAACACCGAGAUUCCGAGAUACAAAAUACCGGGAUAUAACACGGACCUACUUAACAGGGGAAAAAGAACCACGAGACAUGGUCUAUAUAAGUCACACUAUGAGGAAACCCUAAGGUACUUCUUUCUACUCACUCAAUAUUAUUCUUUCUCUUCUUCUUCUUUCCCCUACUACAAAGUUUGACUUGAGCGUCGGAGCGAACGCCCGGAGACCCCCCUCCGGCGUUCUUUCUGACCUCCGUUUAUUGGUGUUUGCAGGCUUUAGCGGAUCAGAUCUAUUUGGUGAUUUAUCACUUGGCGCCGUCUGUGGGAAAUCGAUUUGAUUCCCUUUUUUGGUUACUGUCAAGAGAAACGGAUCAUCGACUGAGAAACACAUCUACGCGGCUAAGAGAUGUACUGAAAUGGAAGGAAUGAUUCAAGCUUGUUUCUGAAAAAUGAUAAACAUGAUGCAUCGGAGAUCUCCUUUGAUCCUGGUAUCGUCGGUGAGCAGAUGCUCGUCUCGGUCUCAAUCCACCAUCCUCCGGUGACAGCAGUUGACGAAACAACAGCCACAAAGAAAGUUAGAAAAUAUGGUUCCGAAAGAAUCCUAAAAGAGCACCUCAAAGGCCUGGCUGGUGCUGAUUUCCAGAUCUGCUGUGCUAAAGAAAGAUAUCCAGAAUGCCUUUAAUGGGUAUCACUAGAAAAGGGAAGGUCCGACAAUGGGUGUUACCUGACAUGAAAACAUGUCUCUGAUUUCAACUUCAACAUCGAAUAAGCUAAGUCUUCUUUUCUUGAACAUUUUCUCUCCGUGAACUAUGGAUAAAAAAUAUAUAUCUAAUGGAUCUAUGGUUUUUGACAUGAAAACAAAGACGAAGGCCCUGUUUCCUCGCUAGUGACAUCUUCGCCAGCAGUAAAUCGAAACAAGGAACUCCCGCCGAUAUAAUCGCGUGCGAAGAUGUAAAUUUCUAAAGUCGUGAUUCAAUGCAUAAACGAGGAGAAAGAUUUCGACAUUCUGUUGGGUUUUGCUCAACUUGAGUAGAGCCAACUUGGAGCUCGAUGAUACAUGUUAAAGAACUUGACACCGUUGAUCGACCAUGAGGGAUCAAGCAACCUGUAUUUCAAAGAUUGGGGUUUUCUACUCUAGCAAUCUAUUGGCACUUGUGUAAAAUUUAGAAAAGCUAAAGGAAUCUGGUGUGGAGAUUGGUGAGGAGAUGGCAACCUCCCUUACCUUGCAACAUGUUUGUGAGAUUCAAAAUAGUGCAGUUCACUUGUUCGAUGAAAUGUCUCAAAGAAAAUGAAUAUUACAAUCAACAUCACAAUGCCUACGGAGUUCCAGAGAGAAAAAGAACAAUCGAGUACGAGGAUCUUGAUGCAAGAAUCAGAGAACCGGAGCAAUUCGAUGAUAAACCGAGAAGAUCUUAGGUCACCUGGAAGUCCUUGAACGGCGGCAGUUAUCUCAAAGUUACUGCUCUGUGUACUUGGCAUAUAGCUGAAAACUUAAAAGAAAAAGCUUCAGGCAACUCUUGAGAUAUUCAGAACAGUGCAAGGAGAUGGAGGACAAAUGGACACAUUUAGGUCCAAGGGUGUGAUUGCUAGACAUUACAAAGGUGAAGUGAACAACUAAUUAUCUUACCAUGUGUUUGGUAAUCAAAAUAAGAAGCGAGGAAUUGAGCCGAUGAAGAUAAUGGAUAUGGCGACAUGGACUACACUGAUCUCUACACACAGAUUGAGAACUGAACUAGCAUAUGAUAUCUUACCAGCAGGAAACUGAAGUAUAACACUUCAAACAAUUUCGCCUGAGUUACAAAUCACUAUAAAGAGAACCUGGAAUAAACAGCUCAUGCCAAGCAAGAAUAGCGCAAAAGAUAAGUGUUCAAUCUUUUCUUUCGCAAUUCAAUUUCAGUCAAACUAAUAGAUUCUAGCAUCUUGCACUGCCAUCAUGAGGUAUACAUGUUGAGCAUAUCAUGACCAUUGCUAGAUUGAACCAUUAUAAUAUGUGCAUGUCCAACAGUUGAAUGGUGAUCAACAAGAAUUGUAAUGCUCUCAGUUUCAAUCUGUAAACUUUUGUUAACUUUCAAAGAUGUAUAGCAUAUAAGCGUCAACUGCUGAAUCUAAGCAACUACCAGACCUACUCUGCUAAGAGAGAUGGAAAAUCAAGCUCCAUAAAAACAAGAACAAGUAAAAUGAAUUUCAAAACAGGUUCAGGUCGUGGCAUCUGAGCUCCGAUGAGAAGGACUCCGAACUGAACUCUUUGGGCGUGGAAAUCCAGUUGAUGGAACAGGGGUUUGAGGUUCUCGAAUGAACCAGACUCAUUAAUCUUUGAUCUCACUCAAUCUAUAAUGGUAUUAGAAAGGGGACAAUCUGGAAAUGGAACUAAAGAAAGCUUGAAGAACUUUUGAGGACAAGGACUGAGCUAGGAUCUCUUUUGAUUAACAAGCAACACUUGUCUUGAACAAAUUGAUUAUGGAAUACGGAACAAACGACUAUGACUGGUUAGCCUCAGAGGGGCGAAGUAACAUCUAUAUAAAAUCAAGACCCCGAUAUAAAGGUACGGCAUAAGAGUAAGACCAAGACCUAAGGGUACGGCAUCGAUAUAAGACCAAGACCUCGGGCGACGGGCUAGUGCCAAUAUACGGCCUAUGUGCCAUAUUCCACGGGCUAUGUGCCACCAGCGGGCUAUGCGCCAAUAUACGGCCUAUGUGCCAUAUUUCACGGGCUAUGUGCCACCAGCGGGCUAUGUGCCAAAUCUACGGGCUAUGUGCCACCAGCGGGCUAUGUGCCAAAUCUACGGGCUAUGUGCCAAAUCUACGGGCUAUGUGCCACCAGCGGGCUAUGUGCCAAAUCUACGGGCUAUGUGCCAUCCACGGGCUAUGUGCCAAAUUCACGGGCUAUGUGCCAAAUCUACGGGCUAUGCGCCAAUCCACGGGCUAAGCUAAACAAACAAGCAAAAUUGCUAGAACAAACGAACAAAGUCAAAUAAAAGGGCAAAAUAAACCAGCAAACCGACUACAUCACCGAGAACUAGAUACCACCCUAAUGCCGAGAUAAGAUCAACACGGACAUAAAUGUCCGAUACACAGGAGGGGGACUAGUGGUAACGUAUCAUCAUAGGGGCGAAGCAACCUCGACAAGAUGAAAAGUCACUAAAUCCAACAAACACAACUCCGAGAAAACGAGAGAAAAUUGUCAAAAAUGCAAAAACAAAGUAACCCAGCUGUAUCACCGAGGGAGAGGGGGCAUUAUAGCUAGAAAAACUGAUCAUUAACAGAGGAACCAGACAUUGUUAGCCUUGAA